GAUGAACGCUGGCGGCGUGCCUAAUACAUGCAAGUCGAGCGAACGGACGAGAAGCUUGCUUCUCUGAUGUUAGCGGCGGACGGGAGAGUAAAACGUGGAUAACCUACCUAUAAGACUGGGAUAACUUCGGGAAACCGUAGCUAAUACCGGAUAACAUUUUGAACCGCAUGGUUCAAAAGUGAAAGACGGUCUUGCUGUCACUUAUAGAUGGAUCCGCGCUGCAUUAGCUAGUUGGUAAGGUAACGGCUUACCAAGGCAACGAUGCAUAGCCGACCUGAGAGGGUGAUCGGCCACACUGGAACUGAGACACGGUCCAGACUCCUACGGGAGGCAGCAGUAGGGAAUCUUCCGCAAUGGGCGAAAGCCUGACGGAGCAACGCCGCGUGAGUGAUGAAGGUCUUCGGAUCGUAAAACUCUGUUAUUAGGGAAGAACAUAUGUGUAAGUAACUGUGCACAUCUUGACGGUACCUAAUCAGAAAGCCACGGCUAACUACGUG
rnacentral:rRNA from 1 species